AGAAAUCCUCUCAUCUCUCUCAUGCCUUGAAUCUGCUGCCUAUUCUCCCUAUGACUAAAGCCAACUGGAUGCCAAGACACAAGAGCCUGGGAGGUUGAUACAGUGAUCAGCCUCUCAGGUACAGGAAGGGCAGUCAGUGGAUCCCAGAGGCAAAGGUCAGGAGAUCAAACAGCACACAAUCCAAACACCUGAGUACCUCCACUUCCAGGAAAUGUCAUUCUCCUUUGACAUUUGCCUUGUGUGAGCUGCACCCUGAGCUCUACCAGUCUACAUGAACCUAUUGGUCCUAGAGAGAGGCCAGUGUCAGCCACAUGUCUCAUAACCUCACCUGACCCAAUGGACACUCGUGAUGUAAUGGGAUAGAAUGCAAAUCAUCACAAACCCUUUCUAUCUCCAAUAUAGAAUCCAAAAGGUUCUGUAUCAACCCAUGAGCCAUGCAAAGUCCAGAGUGCUUUAUAGGAAAGAUGAGAGGACCAUGGCUAAGGGAUCCUGACACUCUGGGCCCAGAAUGACUCAGCCCUUCCCCCUUUCCCAUUGUCAGUCCAUCUAUCAUCCUAUUCUGUCUUCCUCCACCUUCAGUAAGCACCUCCUGGAACCUAUGUCAGCCUGGGCUCUGGGCUGACUGUGAUUAACUGAGCAGAUGCAUGCACAAAGCUGGUCACUCUUGCGGGGCUCCGAGAAGCAGCUGCAGUAAUUACAGGGAAUUUCUGGAAUGGAGACUAAUGGUGCGGGUUCAGAUCUAAAACGCUUUUGAUCCUCUUCAUCAUUAAAAGGCCAUUAAAGGUCUCAACUACCUUCUCCUAGCUACCAGCAAAGACUUCUUCUAUCCCAAAGACCUACUGUCAGGAACAUCUCAGAAAGUACAGUGAGAGCUACUUUGCAAUCUUGGAAAACUACAGGCAGCAAGAUCUGCCAGGUACUACCCCCUUAUGAAGAAAGGGAAGCAAGGAUGGGAGAGAAGAAGAAAGUGCAUAUGCUGAGCUGGGAGUGGACCCUGCGAGGCAUAGCUUCCAGUGGAUACUGGAAGACGAUGUAGGCAAGCAGAGACCAAGACUGGUGAGCCCAGGCACAUUUCCUAAGUCUAUCAACUCAGAAUCUUCACUUUUUCUUCCUGCCUAUAUGGUUUCUGCUCUGAUGAUGGUUAAGGUAAGAAGGGUAAGAAGCUGUUCCACAAUUUUUGAACAAUGGGGUAGGAGGUGAAAUAAUUUAAAAGCAUGGUUAAAAAGAUGUUCACCGGCAGAGUGAGUCUGGGUGAUCAAACUUCCAAUGAUUAGAUAUCUCAAAGAAAUGGAAUCUGGCUGCAAAAAUUUGGCUCUUUGAUGGAUAAGGAAGGCCAGGCUGUUUCAAAGCUGCAAGAACAAACUUCAGAAUCAGGCAGGCUCAAUGCAAGCCUUGAUCCCACUUAGCAACUAUUAAGCACUUGUCUUGCAUAUAAUUUAUCCCAGAGCUUCCUAGUCAUGAGUAGAUUGAGAGUGGGUUAUUAAACGUUUUUGGCUGUAUAUUUUUAUGACAGUUAAAGCAAUUUUAUAAUUCAAUAUUCCAUAAGACUGAAAUAUUUUUGAAUAGCAUAUGACAUAAU
ensembl:lncRNA